UUUAUCUUUAUAUACUUGCUAACUUAAGUAAUAUUUUAUAAAAUAAGAAAGGAUAUAAAAAAUUAAAUAUUAAACAAUUAAAAAAUAAUGACAAAGUGUAAAAUUACACCAAUUUAAAGAAAACUCAAGAAGUCAAAAAGUAACAUUAAGCAAUAUAAUUUUAGAUUAAAUUUUUACACAAAAGUAAUAAAAUAGUAUUUGAAAUGAAUUAGCAAUAGAGAAAGACUAAUAAUAUAUAUUAUAUAUUUGUAAAAUUAUUAUUAUUAAAUUUAUUACAUUAUAUAAUUUAUAAAUAUAAUAUCCUACAUAAAUAAUGGUUAUUGAUUUCCUUACAUUAAAUAUUAAUAUAAAUUGUUUUUUAAUCUCUUAUUUGUGCAUCUGGGUUAAGAGUACAUUCUCGUGUAACAAUCAAAAUAUGUAAUAAAAAAUCAAUUUUUUUAAAUUUUACACAAAAACUCUUAAUGUAUCCAAAAUAUAUUUAAGAAUUGUACUAUGAGCGUAUAGAUACUUUACUUUUGCAAUUUAUUAUCGGUAAAUAUAUUUUACAUUAUAUUGAAUUUUGUCAAAUAAUUAAACUAUUUAUUACGCAACUUAUCUCUUGCAUCAUUUACACUCAUCUCUAACUAAUUGUCUUCAACGAGUAAAUUAAGCACUUGCCGCUCGAUUUUCAACCAAUCUGUUUCCAACUAAUAAGGCAUAUUAUGUUUUUGAGAAUUUGUAAUCCUACCAUUUUGCCGACACGAAAUGCCUCAAACUCACGAUAGAUCCAGAACCAAUGAAUUUAAAUACAAUUAUUUUCACUCUAGCAUUCGCAAAUCUAAUAAUCACUUGUAGAAGAGAAUUUUGCAAAUACUAAAGAAAAAUCGAAUUGUCCUGCAUACAAAACACAAGAUAAACUCCGAUUUGACAUCUUAAUAAAAUAAAAAAAUAUUAUAAAUACCUGCUUUUAAAAAUCUUAUCAAAUAGAUCUUUUUAUAUGUGCAUGUUUUCGCUUUUGUUAAGUGUAGACAAUUUUUCCUAAAAGUUUUCCUCUUUUCAGGUAUUCGUCUAAUAUUACGGCUGGAUUUUACACAUGUAAACAUUCACGACAGUAUAGUGAUUUAUUGCUUCCAUUGUAUCGGUUUCUCAUUGGAUGUCACAUGGCACUACUACUUUUUAAGAGCCAUUUAUGAAACCGAAUAUACUGUACUACAUAUUUAUAUGUCAUGAUUUGCGUGCGAUCCCCGAUUUUUUGCUUGGUAUCGUUUGCCAGACUGACCGUCGUUUAUAUUUGAAUGUUUUUUAAAAGUGAUUGAAGCGACAAUGAUUCACACAGCAUAUUAUUAGAUAUAUGAAGCUGCGAUCAGCAUGAAAAGAAAACGAUGAUAACAUCGCGAGAAGAGUUCUUUAUUGCCUUUUAUCGAAAUAAAGAAUUUUACCAAUCAAAGAAUUCAGCACAACAGCCACAACAUGUUAAUUUAAAAAAUGGAAACUAACUUCUAGGCGUUCUUAAGAGGGAAGAAGGGGGAGUAAUGAAAGAAACACUUUAAAUCAAGGUGAUGUCUAUAAAAAUUAAUAUAGUCCCAUUCGUUUUCAUUAUUCGUCAUACUAAUGAGCUGUUUAAAAAUAGUAUUUGUUAUUUAUAAAUUUAUUAUGUCACAUCCAGAAAAAAGUAAUAAUUUCUCGUUUUUACUGAAAUAACUUCAACAAGCGACAAAAGUAACUUAAAUGCGUUACGUUUACACCUUACAUAUUAUGUUAUAUGUAUACUUUAUUCUGCAAAGGUCUAUCGUGUGACCGAUUUUUUUGUCGAAAAAUAAUCGCCCAUUAAAUAAUCAAUUCAAUGUCGAAAGAAAUUCAGCAGAUGUUUCUUUUUUAUAAAAAGGAACAUUCAUAACAGAAGUCUUAAAGUGAAAGUUACACAACCAUAUUAUUUGUUUUUUUAUAUAUUCAAAUGCUUCAUAUCUAUGUGUACUUGUAACUCACAUACGGUUGAAGAAUAAAAUGUUCUAUUAAAAGUAUUAUAUCCAAAAA
rnacentral:lncRNA from 1 species